UGAUGACGAGACGCUAAGGCGUUGAAGUGGUGUAUGUCAGACUUCCAAGAAAAGCUCGCAAUGUCAUAGAUAAAAAAUGCCCGUACCAUAACCGACACAGGUGGGUAGGUAGAGUAUACUAAGGGGCGCGAGAUAACUCUCUCUAAGGAACUCGGCAAAAUGACUCCGUAACUUCGGGAGAAGGAGUGCCUUAUUUAUAAGGUUGCAAUAACAAGAUCCAAGCAACUGUUUAUCAAAAACACAGGUCUCCGCUAAGUCGUAAGACGAUGUAUGGGGGCUGACGCCUGCCCAGUGCCAGAAGGUUAAAGAAGUUGGUUAGUGUAAGCGAAGCUGAUAACUGAAGCCCUGGUGAACGGCGGCCGUAACAAUAACGGUCCUAAGGUAGCGAAAUUCCUUGUCGGGUAAGUUCCGACCCGCACGAAAGGCGUAAUGAUUUGGAUACUGUCUCGGAGAGAGGCUCGGUGAAAUAGACUUGUCUGUGAAGAUGCGGACUACCUGCACCAGGACAGAAAGACCCUAUGAAGCUUUACUGUAACUUGAAAUUGGAAUUGGACUUUGCUUGCGCAGUAUAGGUGGGAAGCGUUGAAGAUACUCUUGCGGGACUAUUGGAGCUAUCAGUGAGAUACCACUCUUGUAAUGUUAGAUUUCUAACUUUGAACCAUAAUCUGGUCAAAGAACAGUUUCAGGCGGGCAGUUUGACUGGGGCGGUCGCCUCCUAAAUGGUAACGGAGGCGUACAAAGGUUUCCUCUGAACGGAUAGAAAUCGUAUCUAGAGUGUAAAGGCAUAAGGAAGCUUGACUGUGAGACCUACAAGUCGAGCAGGGACGAAAGUCGGUCUUAGUGAUCUGACGGUACUGAGUGGAAAGGCCGUCACUCAACGGAUAAAAGUUACUCUAGGAUAACAGGCUGAUCUCCCCCAAGAGUUCACAUCGACGGGGAGGUUUGGCACCUCGAUGUCGGCUCAUCGCAUCCUGGGGCGGUAGUACGUCCCAAGGGUUGGGCUGUUCGCCCAUGAAAGCGGUACGCGAGCUGGGUUCAGAACGUCGUGAGACAGUUCGGUCCAUAUCCGGUGUAGGCGUUAGAAUAUUGAGAGGAGCCUUCUUUAGUACGAGAGGACCGAGAAGGACACACCGCUGGUGUACCAGUUAUCGUGCCAACGGUAAACGCUGGGUAGCUAUGUGUGGAGAGGAUAACCGCUGAAAGCAUCUAAGUGGGAAGCCCACCUUAAGAUGAGUAUUCUCA
rnacentral:rRNA from 1 species